CUGGUCUUGAACUCCUGACCUCAGGUGAUCCACCAGCCUCGGCCUCCCAGUGUGCUGGGAUUAUGGGCGUGAGCCACCGUGCCUGGUCACAAUCCAGGAAUUGUUUUCUUAAGAGCCUAAGAGUCUUGUCUUUGAAAUGUAAACCUGGAGGAAAAUAGUGUCCCUAUCUUCCUGUUGCCUAGGGAAUUUAGCCUAGGCACCUUGAGCUGUUACUACCUGCUUGUCAAGGAGAUGUGAGAAGUUUUAUUUUUUCAUUGGAUACAGGUAAUUAACUAGCAUGGAUGGCCACGUUGAUUUCCAGGUGAAUUUAGGAUGAGUGUUUAAGAAUGCAUAGCAGGCCAGGCCUGGUGGCUCACACCUGUAAUCCCAGCACUCUGGGGGAGGCAGAGACAGGCGGAUCACUUGAAGCCACACAGAAAUCGAAAGAAGAAGUUUGAGUCCAGCCUGGCCAGUAUGGCGAAACUCUGUCUCUACUAAAAUACAAAUAUUAGCUGGGCAUGAUGGCACGUCUGUAAUUCCAGCUACUUGGGAGGCUUAGGCACGAGAAUCACUUGAACCCAGGAGGUGGAGGUUGCAGUGAGC
rnacentral:lncRNA from 1 species